rnacentral:lncRNA from 1 species
CAUUGAUCCUUCAUGAUUCCAUUUGGAGUUUCUUGGCAAUAUACUGGAGUAGUUUGUCAUCUUCUCCAGAUCAUUUGACAGAUGAGGAAAUGGAGGACAAUGGGAUUAAAUAUCCUGCCCAGCAUCACAAACUAAUUGCUUGCUUCUGUGGCAGCUAUGGAACACCGAGAUUUUGAGAGAAGAGUUUUGUUGGUGGAGGAGAGGGGAUGAUUUUAUAGAAAAAAGUUUUUUUGGG